rnacentral:rRNA from 1 species
AGUGAACGCUGGCGGUAGGCCUAACACAUGCAAGUCGAACGGCAGCACAGUAAGAGCUUGCUCUUACGGGUGGCGAGUGGCGGACGGGUGAGGAAUACAUCGGAAUCUACUUUUUCGUGGGGGAUAACGUAGGGAAACUUACGCUAAUACCGCAUACGACCUACGGGUGAAAGCAGGGGAUCUUCGGACCUUGCGCGAUUGAAUGAGCCGAUGUCGGAUUAGCUAGUUGGCGGGGUAAAGGCCCACCAAGGCGACGAUCCGUAGCUGGUCUGAGAGGAUGAUCAGCCACACUGGAACUAAGACACGGUCCAGACUCCUACGGGAGGCAGCAGUGGGGAAUAUUGGACAAUGGGCGCAAGCCUGAUCCAGCCAUACCGCGUGGGUGAAGAAGGCCUUCGGGUUGUAAAGCCCUUUUGUUGGGAAAGAAAAGCAGCAGGUUAAUACCCCGCUGUUCUGGCGGUACCCAAAGAAUAAGCACCGGCUAACUUCGUG